ensembl:lncRNA
CGAUUCCGAAGGCGAAUGCGGUAUGAAACACAAGCCUACAGACAAGACGGUAUAACCUCGAGAUCAGAAGUCCCUUAGAUAUUUUGGAACGAAAAACAUUCAAUCCCAUUGGCUUGUAUAAGUGUCCGAGUUGGCGAAGGAUCUUCAGAAUCAACUAUAUGGUUUUGUUAUUCCAUUAACAUGAAUGGAAUUAACCUGGGAAGGUGUUCCGGUCCCGUCCCACCGGGAGGAGACCCCGGGGAAGACCUAGGACACGCUGGAGGGACUAUGUCUCCCGGCUGGCCUGGGAACGCCUUGGUGUCCCCCCGGAAGAGCUAGAGGAAGUGUCUG